UUCAAAGGGAGGAGAAUCGGACCCCACCUUCUGGCAGGAGGCAUGGAGGUUCUACAAGAACAUGUGGGACCAGAAAUAUUGCUGAGGCCCGGUUUGGCGGGAAGUGACAAAGAGGUCACACCUACUACAACUUUCGUGUGCUAAUUCGAGGGCCGGUCUCCCCCUCCACCAGAUGGGAAGCUCUCUCAAGGACAGGACUCGCACCAAAAGACCAAACAAGCUUGACCUGUGGAAUCACAGCUUUGAUUUAAAUCUCA